rnacentral:rRNA from 1 species
UUGGCCUACGGGAGGCAGCAGUGGGGAAUAUUGCACAAUGGGGGAAACCCUGAUGCAGCGACGCCGCGUGAAGGACGAAGUAUUUCGGUACGUAAACUUCUAUCAGCAGUGAAGAAAAUGACGGUACCUGACCAAGAAGCCCCGGCUAACUACGUGCCAGCAGCCGCGGUAAUACGUAGGGGGCAAGCGUUAUCCGGAUUUACUGGGUGUAAAGGGAGCGUAGACGGCCAUGCAAGUCUGAUGUGAAAACCCGGGGCUCAACCCCGGGACUGCAUUGGAAACUGUGCGGAUGG